AAUAUAUCCGGCCUGCGGUCAAUUAGCCAGAAUGCUCCAAACAGCAGAAAACCCGCCGACUUUAACACUUUCACUCGCCAUAAAAAAAACAAAACGAACCCCUCAAUUUCCCCUGUACUGUCUCGUCUCCGGCGAAAUUCUCAGGGUUGGUGAGAUAGAAUGGAAUCAAGGACUAGAAAGAGGUCAUCGCUGAACAACAAUGAAGACAGGAUCAGCACGCUACCAAAUGUACUUCUCCAUCACAUUUUAUCUUUUUUGGACGCAGUGCAGGUUGUUCAAACCUGUGUUUUGUCCAAAAGAUGGAUGAAUGUGUGGAAAUCUCAUCCCUAUCUUGACUUCAAUUUUGAGACUUUUUCAUCCUUAAUAAGUUCAUAUUAUUAUGACGAUGACAUGAACAAUUUCACUGAUUUUAUCAGUCAUGUUUUAGUACGUCGUAAUAACGUCAAGGCUUUUAAGCUUUCCUUAGAUACACGUCGUGAUUGUCAGUAUAGUGUGGUAGAAUCUCUGAUAUAUUAUGCAGUUAAACAUCACGUGGAAGAGAUAUCUAUAAAUACUGCUCAUUGGGAUGUCCCAAUUGUGUUGCCUCGUUGUUUCUUUGACUGUGAAUCAUUGAGAAGCCUGAAAUUGAAAGUAGACGGUGGCCUAGCUUUGCCAAAAUCAUUGGGGUUGCAGUCUCUGAAGACAUUGCAUCUUGGUGGGGCUCAGAAUUUUGAUGGGAAGAUUUUCUCAAGUUGCCCGAAUCUUGAAAAUCUGACAAUUGAAGAUAUAUGCUUAAACGUGAUUGAAAACUUCAAUAUUCAUGCUCUUAGUCUGAAAAGCUUGGAAAUUUUGAAUUGGAGAUAUAAUAGAAUUAAGCAGGGGUGCAAAGUUAUGUUAGUUGCUCCUAAGCUUACCAGUUUCAAGUUUGAUGGGAACACUCCUCUAUUUUGGUCUGAAGUGAAUCUUACCUCUUUGGAUGAUGUAAAUGUAGUCUUGCAGAGAUACUAUCACAAUCAUUACUAUCCAUUCUAUGUAGUUGAAGAUGAAUACAUUUCAGAAGAAGAAGAAACCGAGCAGGGGCUUGGUCUCAAUCUCAUCAAGAUGCUUCAUCAGUUCUGCAGUGCAAAAUCUUUGACAUUAUCCAUGAAUAUCAUUGAGGUUCUCUCAAAGGUUCCGGCUGCUCUAAAUAAACAUCCUUCUCCGUUUUCUAAUUUGAAGUAUCUGAAGUUGAAAACUGACCACAAGGAUGUCACUCUACCUGCCCAUGUCUUGAAUUACUUUCUUAGAAGCUCUUCUUUGCUGAAAGUAUGCUUCUAAUAUCUCCCAAGGUAAUCGAACAUCUCCUUCUACAUUCAAAGUUACUGUUGAUGCCACAUAAAUAAUAACUGCUUCAGUCUCACUCUAACAUGCCUUGUAAUUUCGUGGGCACAAAGCUGUGAAGCUAUAUGAAGGCAGUUCUUUCCAUUACCAUACGCAUGUGAAUGUCUUUCAAGUGCUUAGGUACUCCUUUGGGGCUUGUAAUCAUCAUUUUAAUCGAUCGUGGCUUGAUCCUUAUAGCAUACAGCAAUGCCAUAUAAGAUGUUCCUUUUCCCGCUAACAUUGCGUAGCUAAUCCAAUAUAUUGAGCAACUCUGAUUGAACUCAGCUGUGUAGCUAUGAUUGAACUCAGAAGUUUGCCAGAAACUUGCUCAGAAAGAACCAUGCAUACGAUGAUAUCAUUUUUUUUUAUUGUUGUUUUGCUGCAUUCUUUUACAUUUCAGUUUAUUUAUUUUUCUUUUACCAUUUACUUUCUUUUUACUUGACAUUUCCUAAAACAAUGUAUCUUUUAAAAUAAUAUAUCUUUCUUAAGCAUAGAAUAUUAGACACUUACAUUUCA